rnacentral:rRNA from 1 species
CCUACGGGUGGCAGCAGUAGGGAAUAUUGCCCAAUGGGGGAAACCCUGAAGCAGCAACGCCGCGUGGAGGAUGAAGGUUUUCGGAUUGUUAACUCCUUUUGUUAGAGAAGAUAAUGACGGUAUCUAACGAAUAAGCACUGGCUAACUCCGUGCCAGCAGCCGCGGUAAUACGGAGGGUGCAAGCGUUACUCGGAAUCACUGGGCGUAAAGAGCGCGUAGGCGGGAUAGCAAGUCAGAUGUGAAAUCGUAUGGCUUAACCAUAGAACUGCAUUUGAAACUGGUAUUCUAGAGUAUGGGAGAGGUAGGUGGAAUUCUUGGUGUAGGGGUAAAAUCCGUAGAGAUCAAGAGGAAUACUCAUUGCGAAGGCGACCUGCUAGAACAUAACUGACGCUGAUGCGCGAAAGCGUGGGGAGCAAACAGGAUUAGAUACCCGAGUAGUC